rnacentral:rRNA from 1 species
UCCCUGAUGUUAGCGGCGGACGGGUGAGUAACACGUGGGUAACCUGCCUGUAAGACUGGGAUAACUCCGGGAAACCGGGGCUAAUACCGGAUGCUUGAUUGAACCGCAUGGUUCAAUUAUAAAAGGUGGCUUUUAGCUACCACUUACAGAUGGACCCGCGGCGCAUUAGCUAGUUGGUGAGGUAACGGCUCACCAAGGCAACGAUGCGUAGCCGACCUGAGAGGGUGAUCGGCCACACUGGGACUGAGACACGGCCCAGACUCCUACGGGAGGCAGCAGUAGGGAAUCUUCCGCAAUGGACGAAAGUCUGACGGAGCAACGCCGCGUGAGUGAUGAAGGUUUUCGGAUCGUAAAACUCUGUUGUUAGGGAAGAACAAGUACCGUUCGAAUAGGGCGGUACCUUGACGGUACCUAACCAGAAAGCCACGGCUAACUACGUGCCAGCAGCCGCGGUAAUACGUAGGUGGCAAGCGUUGUCCGGAAUUAUUGGGCGUAAAGCGCGCGCAGGCGGUUUCUUAAGUCUGAUGUGAAAGCCCCCGGCUCAACCGGGGAGGGUCAUUGGAAACUGGGGAACUUGAGUGCAGAAGAGGAGAGUGGAAUUCCACGUGUAGCGGUGAAAUGCGUAGAGAUGUGGAGGAACACCAGUGGCGAAGGCGACUCUCUGGUCUGUAACUGACGCUGAGGCGCGAAAGCGUGGGGAGCGAACAGGAUUAGAUACCCUGGUAGUCCACGCCGUAAACGAUGAGUGCUAAGUGUUAGAGGGUUUCCGCCCUUUAGUGCUGCAGCAAACGCAUUAAGCACUCCGCCUGGGGAGUACGGUCGCAAGACUGAAACUCAAAGGAAUUGACGGGGGCCCGCACAAGCGGUGGAGCAUGUGGUUUAAUUCGAAGCAACGCGAAGAACCUUACCAGGUCUUGACAUCCUCUGACAACCCUAGAGAUAGGGCUUCCCCUUCGGGGGCAGAGUGACAGGUGGUGCAUGGUUGUCGUCAGCUCGUGUCGUGAGAUGUUGGGUUAAGUCCCGCAACGAGCGCAACCCUUGAUCUUAGUUGCCAGCAUUCAGUUGGGCACUCUAAGGUGACUGCCGGUGACAAACCGGAGGAAGGUGGGGAUGACGUCAAAUCAUCAUGCCCCUUAUGACCUGGGCUACACACGUGCUACAAUGGGCAGAACAAAGGGCAGCGAAGCCGCGAGGCUAAGCCAAUCCCACAAAUCUGUUCUCAGUUCGGAUCGCAGUCUGCAACUCGACUGCGUGAAGCUGGAAUCGCUAGUAAUCGCGGAUCAGCAUG